rnacentral:rRNA from 1 species
UACGUAGGGCGCAAGCGUUGUCCGGAAUUAUUGGGCGUAAAGAGCUCGUAGGCGGUUUGUCGCGUCGGGAGUGAAAUCAUCUGGCUUAACUGGGUGCUUGCUUUCGAUACGGGCAGACUAGAGGUAUGCAGGGGAGAACGGAAUUCCUGGUGUAGCGGUGAAAUGCGCAGAUAUCAGGAGGAACACCGGUGGCGAAGGCGGUUCUCUGGGCAUGAUCUGACGCUGAGGAGCGAAAGUGUGGGGAGCGAACAGG